UACGUAGGGGCCGAGCGUUGUCCGGAGUUAUUGGGCGUAAAGCGCGCGCAGGCGGCCUCGCGCGCCCGACGUGAAAGCCCCCGGCUUAACCGGGGAGGGUCGUUGGGGACGGCGGGGCUUGAGUACAGAUGAAGUAGGCGGAAUUGACGGUGUAGCGGUGAAAUGCAUAGAUAUCGUCAAGAACACCGAUAGCGAAGGCAGCUUACUAAGCUGUAACUGACGCUGAGGCACGAAAGUGUGGGGAUCAAACAGG
rnacentral:rRNA from 1 species